rnacentral:tRNA from 1 species
GGCUCCUUAGCUCAGUUUGGUAAGAGCAAACGACUCAUAAUCGUUAGGUCGUUGGUUCAAAUCCAACAGGAGCCA